UACGUAGGCAGCGAGCGUUGUUCGGAGUUACUGGGCGUAAAGCGUGCGUAGGCGGUGUCUUAAGUUUGUUGUGAAAUCUCCCGGCUUAACCGGGAGGGUGCGGCGAAUACUGAGAUGCUGGAGUGCCGGAGAGGUAAGCGGAAUUCCUGGUGUAGCGGUGAAAUGCGUAGAUAUCAAGAGGAACACCUGCGGCGAAGGCGGGUUGCUGGGCCGACACUGACGCUGAGGCGCGAAAGCCAGGGGAGCGAACGGG
rnacentral:rRNA from 1 species